rnacentral:rRNA from 1 species
GACGAACGCUGGCGGCGUGCCUAACACAUGCAAGUCGAACGGACAGGCCCUGCGUUUGUGCGUCGCUCGUGUGGCGAACGCGUGAGCAACACGUGUGUAUCCUGUCCCUGUCUGUCGGAUAUCUUCAUGAAACUGGGGCUAAUAUCCGAUAUGAUAUCUUGCCCCACGGUGGGCGUUGGAUAGAUUCGGUUUUUGUGGAUGGACUCGCGGCUUACCAGCUUGAUGGUGGGGUAGUGGCUUACCAAGGCUUUGACGGGUAGCCGGCCUGAGAGGGUGACCGGCCACAUUGGGACUGAGAUACGGCCCAGACUCCUACGGGAGGCAGCAGUGGGGAAUAUUGCACAAUGGGCGGAAGCCUGAUGCAGCAACGCCGCGUGCGGGAUGACGGCCUUCGGGUUGUAAACCGCUUUCGCCUGUGACGAAGCGUGAGUGACGGUAAUGGGUAAAGAAGCACCGGCUAACUACGUG